GCUUAAUCCACUUGAUUGAUUGUAUUUAGAUAUCAUAUAUAAAUCUUUUUGUAGAUUAUUCUCAUGUAGUUAGGAGAAAGUUCCAAGUCCAAAAAGAGUCCAAAGUCUUUGGUGGCAUAGACGCCCACAGUGGUUUUGACGGGUAACGGAGAAUCAGGGUUCGAUUCCGGAGAGGGAGCCUGAGAAACANCUACCACUUCUAAGGGAGGCAGCAGGCACGCAAAUUACCCAAUGAUCGAAGACCAAUGUU
rnacentral:rRNA from 1 species